CAGUCGCCGCGGUAAUACAAAGGAUGCAAGCAUUAUCCGGAAUGAUUGGGCGUAAAGCGUCUGUAGGUGGCUUUUCAAGUCCGCCGUCAAAUCCCAGGGCUCAACCCUGGACAGGCGGUGGAAACUACCAAGCUGGAGUACGGUAGGGGCAGAGGGAAUUUCCGGUAGAGCGGUGAAAUGCGUUGAGAUCGGAAAGAACACCAGCGGCGAAAGCACUCUGCUGGGCCGGCACUGACACUGAGAGACGAAAGCUAGGGGAGCAAAUGGGAUUAGAUACCCCUGUAGUCCCUGUCUCUUAUAC
rnacentral:rRNA from 1 species